UAUGCUUAAAUUUUUUUUUAAUUGUAUGCCCCAAUAUAAUGAUGGAAGAAACUGAUUCUUAAAAAUAAUGAUAAAAUUCUGUCUACAGCUUUCAGAAGUAAAUGUGGUUUAUUUUUUUCCGGGACAAAGUACUACAAGCCAGAGAAUUAUUCACUAGAAACCCUGGAAAUGGUUUCAGAGACAGAGUGGCAGCAAACCUCACUGAUAUGACCCUUAAAGUGAGAAGAGAAUGUUUGAAUACUAUUUUUAGCAGAUGAGGAUCCAGAUGUCAGUGCAGACAGCAUAACAACAGUUACAUCUGUUGCUAGUUAUGAAGAGUCAACAUUUGAGGAGGUGAAAAAGAUGUUUACAGGAUAUGAGGCUAAGCAUGGUCCUACAAAGAGCUUCCCUAAAAAAAUAUUUAGAGCAUUGCAGGGCACUACUGAAGGGUGUAAAUUAUCGACUCUUAAAACCAUUAACCAAGGCAUCCACACCAUUGCCAAAGCAAUAUAAGACAGAAAGGAAAAAGAAAAUUAGGCUAUUGAAAGACAUUUUUUCUAAAGUUACUAACAGCUGUAAAGAAAAUGCCAGGGUUUUAUAUCCUAUCCAUUUUGAAAGAAUAGAGGAAUUUUGCAAAUUACAGAAUCAUGACGAAAUUUUGUUGUUUGAUUGUAAUCAUCCUCUGCAUAAUAAGUGUUUCUAAUUGCGGAAGACUCACUGGAAAUUGUCUGGCUUCAAAUGGCACAUGUGGAAGAAAAGGAUUUACCUGUGAUGAUGCGUUUGGUAAAGGGUGGAUAGAUGAAGGACAAUGUUGUUCUGGAAGACCAUGUUGUAAAUAU